GUUUAUUGAAUCAAAUGCCCAAAUCAUGAAAUCAACCAAUCCCAUUUCUGAUUUUUCCCAAAUCGUAGAACGCUGCUGCCUACUGGAAGUCUGCAAAAGCCCUUUUCCAAUUUCUUCAAUUUUCCUUCGCCACAAUCGUCCCUGCCCUGCGCGGCUGCACUGGCCACAUAGUACACAUGAGAAACGACAGUGUCGCUUGCCAGAUUGCUGGUUCGCCCUACUCAAAUAUGGUCGAUUUUUAUAUUCUUGUAUAGUUUAUCUUUGUGACUCUGUGUGUUUGUUUAAUGGGUUAAUUUUAUUUGGUGCUUAAUAGCUUAAGUAAUGUAAAAUAAUGUAAAAUUUGUCUCUAAAAUUUGGAUUUAAAGGUUUUUUCUGACCCCGAUUCACGUCACAUGUAAGUGUAAUUAUAACUCAUAAGUUCACCAAAUUGUUUUCACUUUUCAGUGUCUAUUGACUAUUAUGAUUUAUGUAUUUAAUUAGAAAUGGGUUUUUUGCCCAAAUUUGUAUUAUGUAUUUAAUUAGCAAGUACAAUGGUUCACUGGGUCGGAUUAGUUUUGGUCUAACACUUCCUCUUCUGACUUGUUCUGCCCAAAUUUUUUCACUAUAAUGAACGAGAAAAUAGGUCUGUACCUGCACACGAGAGUGACAAGACACUCCUUCCUUCGCCCGUUCGCCGUUUCGUUGCCUCUUUGUAUAAUAGUAUGUGCCAAGUGCUAACUGCUAAAUUGGAAAUUUUAAUUUUAUUGUAUGUGUUAACUGCUGAACACCAUGUUUAAAAUUAAGGGUAUCAACUUGGCGUGAAAUUGACAUCUCCCCAUAGACACUGAUAGAGUGUCCAAAUUUGGAGCAGAAUCGCAGAAUUCUUUGUCCACUUGGCGACCAAGUUCUUUGGUUCGAGCCAAUAUUAAUGCCAAAGGAUUCCUUUCUCAGGUCAGUGACUUAAGUUAAUGUUAACUAUGUUAUGAUUUAUUUAUUUGGGAAUUAAAAAUUUGCGAAUUGUGAUUUAUGAAUUAUGAUAAGUAAUUUAUGUUUUAUGAGUUAUGAUUAUUGAUUCGAGAAAAUUGUGAUUUAUGAUUAGUAAUUUAUGUUUUGACGAGGAAUGAUUAAUGAUUUGGGAAUUUAUGUUUACAAAUUUAUGUUUGUGAAUUUGAUUUCUGAUAAGUAAUUUAUGUUUUGUAAUUGAAAAAUAAAUUGGGGCAUUUUGCAGUAAUGGAACGAUUUUUUCAACUAAAACGAAAGUCCAUACCCAAUUCUUCUACUUCUAGUUGUGCAUCUAGUCCUGCCACGGAUUCUAGUCGAGCACAAGAGUUAUUGAAUAACACAAAGAAGUCUGGGGCUCAAUUCAAUGUAGAUGAUCUUGUAUCUGAUCCAGGGAUACGCCCCCCUAUCGAGUCAUAUGAUCCUAACAUCAUAGAUGAUGUUAGGAUGACAUACUUGGAUAAGGGUCCUUGUCAACCAUAUGGACACGAUUUUCUUAGAAGACCGAUGGGGAAUGAUAAUAGAUAUUUUCAGAAAGAACGGUUCUCCAAAUUUUAUUGGUUGGAAUACAAUAUAGAAAAGGAUGUGGCGUACUGUUUGCAUUGCUACUUGUUCAAACCCGAUAGAGGGGGUCAAGGGGGUGGACAUAUAUUUACUAAGACCAGCUUUAGGGAUGGAAGCACAAAAAGACAUUGAAAGAUCGUGUUAGUCUCUUUGAUAGUGCUCAUAAUCAAGCUUUUGCAAAGUUUUCCAACUUGAUGAAUCAAAAGCAAAGUAUCUCCUACGUUAUUUCUAGCCAAAAUUGUAGUCAACAACAAAAUUAUAGGACUAGGUUAACUACAGUUCUAGAUUGUACUAGACUCCUCUUGAUGCAAGGAUUGUCAUUUCGAGGUAAUGACGAAUUGAUAGAGUCUCUUAAUAGAGGAAAUCUAAUUGAGUUACUGAACUGGUACGCAGCUCAUUGUAAGGAAAUUAAAGAAGUAUUAUUUAGCAAUACACCUGGAAAUGACAAAUGACUUUACCAACCAUCCAAAAGGAUUUGAUUAAUUGUUGUGCCGUAAAGACGACAAGGCCUAUUAUCAAUGAGAUAGAUGAUUCUUUGUUUUCAAUUUUGGUUGAUGAGGCUCGUGAUAAUUCUAUGAAAGAACAAAUGGUAGUUGUUUUGAGGUUUGUUGACAAGAAUGGGCAAGUGAAGGAGCGUUUUUUGGGUAUGUCCCAUGUCACUAAUACUUGUGCCCAAUCACUGAAGGAUGCCAUUGAUACAAUGUUUUCUACACAUGGGUUGAGCAUAUCUAGCUUGAGAGGUCAAUGCUAUGAUAGAGCAAGUAAUAUGUCAGGUGAUUUCAAUGGGUUGAAAGCUUUAAUUCGAAGAGAGAACCCACAUGCUAUAUAUGUUCAUUGCUUUGCUCACCAGCUUCAGUUGGCAAUUGUAUAUGUGACACGUAGGAAUUGUAUGAUUGGUGAUUUUUUUGACAUACUUGCUAUUAUUGUGAAUUUGGCUAGUGCAUCAUAUAAGAGUGUAGAUGCUCUUCCAACAAGUUAUCAAUCUAAUAUUCUGGAGAAGCUUAAUAUUAGGAAACUUACUGGUGGAAGUGAUCAAUUUCAAGAAAUGAUUUUGGCACGCCCAGGUGAUACUAGGUGGGGCUCACAUCUAUUGACAAUUACUCGUUUCAUUAAUAUGUUUAAUGCUAUCAUAGAAGUUCUUGAAAAUAUAUCAAAAGAUGGCGUACGUUUAGAUGAAAAAUCUUCGACUGUACGACAGAUAAACACUAUGCAAGAUUUUGAGUUUUUGUUCAGUUUCCACUUUAUGUUUGAAAUUCUGGCAAUUACAGACAACCUUUCACAAGCAUUACAGAAAAAGAAUCAGGAUAUUCAGAAUGCUAUGAAGUUAUUGAAUUUGUGUAAGUGUGUAUUGCAAAACCUAAGAGAGAAUGGUUGGGAUACUUUGUUGAGUAGGGUGAUUGAGUUUUGUGUUGAUAGACAUAUUUUAGUGCCCAAUAUGGAUGAUAUUGUAGUAGUGAAAGGUCGACCUAGGCGUGUAGCUUAGCAGGUGACUUAUUUUCAUCGCUUUUAUGUUGAUUUGUAUUGUCAUGGGAUAGACUUAAUCUUGUAAGAGUUGAAUGAUCGUUUUCCAAAAACAACUACUAAGCUCUUUACUUUCAUUUCAUGUUUUAAGUCAAAGAGAUUCAUUUGCAGCUUUCGAUAAGGAUAAAUUGCUACGUCUUGCUCAAUUCUAUCCGUUGGAGUUCAAUAGUGAAGAGCUUUUAUUACUUAGACCUCAGCUUGAUAAGUUUCUUUUGCUUGUGAGAAUGGAUGAAGCUUUCUUGAAUCCAAAUAGCAUAUCUUGUAUAGCUCAGAAGUUGGUUGAAAUUAGAAGUUCCUGUUAUUUUUCAUUGGUUUAUAGGCUUCUCACCUUGGCUUUGAUAUUACCCGUGGCAACUGUAAGUGUUGAAAGAGUAUUUUCCGCAUCAAGAGUGAUUUGGGCAAUAAAAUGGGAGAUGACUAGUUGAAUGACAAUUUGGUGGUUUACGUGGAGAAAGCUAUUUUUAAAAAACUUGAGAAUGAGGCAAUAUUGCAAUGUUUUCAAGUCAUGAGACCCCGUAGAAUGCAGUUGUCUAAGUUUAUAGUUACAGAGUAACUAAGUAAGGUUGUAUCGUAUAUAUUUUUACUAUUUUGGGUUGUAUUGAAGUAUAAUUUCAUAUGUAUACGAUUUUGAUGUUUUAGUUCAUUUACAUAUAUAUUGAAUAACCUUUACUAUUAUGUAACUAUAUUUUAUUAAACGAUCGGAUUAUUACAAUCGUCGACGGUCAACCCGUCCUAGUCCGAUUGUCGACGAUCAACGGUCAAUCCGCCCUAGCUGGACUUUGAUCGUGGACUCGCCGCUGAGCAUGGUAUCAUAUGAGGCAUUGUAUGGGAGGAAGUGUAGAUUGCCAAUUCAUUAGGAUGAGGUUGGAGAACGAAAAAUUUUGGGGCCAGAGAUCAUUGAAUAGGUGGUGCGAGAUAUUGAGAAAAUUCGAGCUAGCAUGAAAAUGGCUCAGGAUAGAUGAGAGAGUUAUGCAGAUAGAAGAAGAAAAGAUCUAGAAUUUAUAAUGUGUGACCAGGUUUUCCUCAAGGUUGCACCGAUGAAAGGAGUAUUAUGCUUCGGCAAGAAGGGUAAGUUCAGACCAAGGUACAUCGGUCCUUUCGAAAUUUUAAAGCGAAUUGGAAAUGUUGCAUACCAAUUAGCUUUGGCACCAGAGUUUUCAGUGGUACACGAUGUCUUUCAUGUAUCAAUGCUUAGAAAGUAUGUUCAUGACCCAACUCAUGUGAUCAGAAAUGAAUCUGAGUUACAAAGAAGUACUAAUAUGCAUCAUAGCUCAGAAAGUACAGAAACUUCGUAACAAAGAAAUACCACUAGUUAAAGUGUUAUGUCAACACCAUUCAGUAGAAACCAUUUGGGAAUGCGAGAGGAAAAUACGAUUCAAGUAUCCCCAAUGUUUUGUUGACGACAGUUGAAGUAAAUUUCGAGGUCGAAAUUUAUUUUGAGGGUAGAUUGUGACACCUCAUACCUCAAAAUUAGUCAUUAUAUUAAAAUUUAGGGCUUUACCACAUAGACAGUAUAGUCUAGGGACCUAAUUGAUUAAUGUAUAAUAGUUUGGCAUUAAGCACAAAUAUUUGAAUCUCAAAGUGAUAAAAUCUCUAAGAUAUUAUGAUUAUUUUUAAGUAUUCAACAUUAUCACAGAUUCUAUUAGAUAUUGUGAUUAUUUUUAAUUAUUCAACAUUAUCCAAAUUUUAUUAGGUAUUAUGAUUAUUUUUAAAUAUUCAAUAUUAUCACAAAUUCUUUUAGAUAUUAUGAUUAUUUUUAAUUAUUCAACAUUAUCGAAAAUUAUGUUGGAUAUUAUGAUUAUUUUUAAUUAUUCAACAUUGUCACAAAUUUUGUUGGAUAUUAUGAUUAUUCAACAUUAUAAUAAUUUUUGUUGGAUAUUAAGAUUAUCUUUAAGCAUUUAAAUUUAUUUAAAUAAAUUAUGAUAUUUAUCCCAUGCAUCAUCAGUAUACUAUAAAUAUGUUCAUGAUUUUCAAGAAAUUCACACGUAUCUUUUUCACCUCGCUCACAACCUGUCUUACACACAAAAAUAUUUCACCUUACAAAAAUAUUUAGUACUCACGGUAUCCAAGAAAACUUUGUAGUGGAAACCAAGCAAGCCAAUUUCUUUGAUUGCCUUUAUUUUUCCCCACACAACAGUAAGUAUAUACGUGUUGUUAUACUACACUUUUGGAAAUAUGUUUACGGGUCCAUAUGUAUGCUCUAAGUUUUGGACUGUAGUUCUAGUAGCACUACGCACGUAAAACUCAUACCAUCUAAGUUCGGUAUUGUUUCGUGUCUCCUUUAUGCAAGUUCUAUGAUUCCAAAAGUUAUAUGAUUAGAAAUUUAUAAACACGUACAUACUUAUUGAAAUUUUCUCGCCUUAUGUUUUUCCCAUUGGAGCUUGGACUUAGUCGUGGUGGUGAAAACAAAUUUUGAAGUUUUAUGAAUUUUCCUUUCGAAUUAAUUAUUUUAAGUAUCAUGAACAAGUGUUUUUUAGUUGACUUUCUCAAUUUAUGAAAUGAAUUUUAAAUAAGUUUUCUUUUAUGUAUUAUCUUUAUGGCCCUUGGAUUUUAGGACUUGGGUGUCACAUUUAGGCUCACUUGUAUUAACAAAAUACACUUUCUUGAUCGUAUAAUUUAAAAAUUAUUCUCAUAAUUUAAAAUUUGAAUAGUAAUUUCACAAGCAUCAGUUUGCUAAUCAAACAAUAAUACAUUCAAUAAUUGAACUUAUGGUUCAAUAAAAUAUUUGCUUCAAUUGUAGCAAUAUCUGUAUAUUAUUCAUCAUGACCCACAUUUUAGAAACUUAGUUUUCUAUCUUAAUUUAUACGAGAAAAAUUACUAUUAAUACUAAAAUUUUAUUCUCCCACACAACAUAGUAUUAACUCUCUGGAGCAUCAAAACCAUAUUGUUUUGAGAUUUUAAUAUAUCAUAAUAUUCUUUUAAAUUAUUGAUACAUAUAAAUUUGUCCAUCUUAGGGAACACAACACAAUACUUUUUUGAAAAUGUUUAUAUAAUGUGGUUUUUAUUUAUUCGAGAACAUAAAGACCAUAUAUGUAUUCAAAGUAUUAAUUUAAUAUAAAAAUAUGCUUCUUCUAGAGCUAUAAGUCAAUAUUCUUCUAACUUAUUGAAUUAUAAUUUCAUGCUCUUCAAGAGCAUGCAAUAUUCUUUUAGAAUAUUAUAACGUUGUGUUUAUUCGAGAGCAAUGAUAAAUUAAAUAUAUCAAUUAAAUAUGACAAAUAAUAUAUUUUACGUCAUGAUCAAUUAUAACUUACAAAUCAAAAUAAAAAUUGAAUGUACACAGUGUAAUGAUUAUAAUCUAUACAAAACAAUCAAUUAAAUAAAUGUAACAGUUUAUCAAUUGAAAUUGAUAGGUGGAUGCAUGCAAUAGAAUAAUUAUUCAAUUUAAUCAUGCAAUUUCUGUAAUUAAGACAAUAUGAAAUUCUUAUAUCGAACAACCAAUUCAAAAGAAUAUAUGAGCUUGUGGAUAGGAAUUGAUGGGUUCUUUAUAUGGCAUUCCAAAAUAUACAUUUUGACAUUAGGACCAUCGAUCAAUGACUUUUUUUGGCAAGAAUUGUUGGAUUAUAACUGUUGAAAUUUGAAGAACAACGAGUUUUGAACCUCUCAUCCAAAUUUCAUAACGAUAUGACCAUGGAACGUUGAGCUGUCAGUGUUUAGAUUAUAGUUACAAGGGUUGUCUAGAUCCUACGAAUUUCUACAUUAUUGAUUUCAAAUUUUCUCCCUAUGUUGAAUCAGUUUUUUUUGUGCAGAUAACGUGUUUUAUAACUAAAUGAAGAAAGAAAAAUAUAAAAAUGAAAAUAGAGAGAGUCAAAACUUCAAGUGUAUAUUUUAUUAAGAAUUAAGACUCCUUAUAUGUAGGAUCCAAAAUGAGAGUUACAGUCAAAAUAAAAUAGACUCUUACAAAGUAGAUAGAGCUUAUCAAAGUAUUCAAAUAAGACAAAAUAAUCAUUAAUAAUUAUCUCAUAACUUUACAAUAAAUUCCAAUGUUUCUCACGUCCGUUUGAAUGAAAUUCGUAAAACACCCGUUCCUGUAUUACAAACAAGAACUUUUUAUUAUUAUUCACAUUUUCGUUCUACGUCACAAUUGCUUCCGAGAACCCACCCAUCAAUCAUCUUCACCCAAUGUCAAAGCAUAUCCAAUGAAUUUAUAUUUCUCUACUGUACAUCAAAUUUGAAGAGGAUCGAGCCAACUUAAUUUUGGGAUGGCCAGCGUAGUACGUCAAAUUGUCAAAAAAUGGAUAUUGAUAUGAACGCAUAAUAUGAGCGAGAGUCCUAUAGGAAAAAUCUUGUUUUCCAUAUUUGUAUUUUUCAUGGUCCAGUGUCUCCCUUUCAAAUUGUUGAAGUGAUUACUGUCAUUCAAGUAUGAAAUUGUUUGGAGAUAAUUCUAAAGGCUACUAACAUUAAAUUCUCCAUUCUUCCUCAAGAAAAUCAUUAUUUUCAGAAAUUCAUGCAAGUGUCAAGGUUCAUUCAAAGAGUUUUUCAUUUUGUUGAUUUGUGCAGAACUUUCAAUCAUAUAUGCGUUUCAAGUCUUCAUUCCGAUAUUUUCAUCAAUUGUUUUCUUUUUCGAGUUUUGAGUUUCGAUUUUCUUCUUCUACUUGGGGUUUUUUAAAAGGAAUUUCCACCUAUCUUAAAGCAUUAUGCCAUGGAGACAAAAAAGUACAUCCACAACCAUCAAAUUGCACAAACUUUACCUGAUGGCAAGACAAGUGGAGAUUCUUAUUAACAACCUUGAAGAUCUUCUAUGUGCUUGAUCCAUGCUUGACUCCAAUUCCAGAUCUGACCAUGACAAACAUGGACAGAAUAAGGCUAAAUUUAAGAAAAGACAAAAAGGUGAACAUACUUGUCGAGGUCACGUUCUCAAUUCACUUCUAGAUCGUUAGUACAAUCUCUAAGCAAACAUUGCUUUGACAAAUGAGAUUUUGAAGCACUUGAGAAUAAAUAUAAAAUCAAGAAGGUAUCAAGUUAUUCUUAUUUCCAAAUAUUCAAUUUUGAAUUAUUGUAUGGUAUUCUAUUGUUGUCACAAGUUCAUGAAUUGCAAGUGAUUGUCAAAUAAGCUCAGGGCGAAAAAGAUUGAAUUUCUUGAAUCAUUUCAAUUCGGUGCCAUCAUUAAUUCUAAGUUGCCAUCGACUUGGAGAGGCUAUAGGAAGAAAUUAUUUAAUAAUUCAGAAAUCUUUUCUAUGGAAUGUAUUUAGAAGCAUCUUUGAAUCAAGGAAGAAUAAAUGGCACGCGAUAAGAAUGAUGAUUCUCAUGAAGGCACAUCCAAGCGUGCUUUGUGGAAUAUGAAUCAAAUAGAUAAGCAUAUCGACUAUUGAAUUGAAUACAAUGUGAUAACAUAAUCUAAGAAUGUAGAGUUCUUUGAGAAUUUAUUGACUUCAAAAAUUAUUUCACAAACUCUAAAUAAAACUCAAAUAGAGAAUUUGGUUUCUAGAGAUUCAAAAGAAGAGUCAUCUUUCAGAUAUGAUGAGCAAUCUAAACUUCAAAGAAGUAAAAGAACUCAUAAAUUAAAACAUUUAGAUUGGAUGAAAUUGAUUUUCAAGUUAUUUCUCUUUGUUAGGAUGAAGGAAAUAGGAUGGAUUUCUCAAGAACAAUUCAUUUUUUCUUCAAGUAGAAAGUGAUCCUAGAACUUAUAAGGAAGCAAUAUUUUUGAGAGAACUUUUUAGAAAGAUGCUAUAAACGAUGAGAUUGAUUCUAUUAUAUUGAAUAAUUCUUGGAAACUUUUCGAUUUAUCAUUCGAUUCAAAUCCAAUUGGUUGUAAGUGGGUGUUUAAAAAGAAAGCGUUACACCGAUUGUACUCUUCUAACCUUUCAAGUCUAGGUUAGUAGCUAAGCGUAUUGACACAUAGAAUACAUUUACUAUUUUGACAUAUAUGCACCACUAGCUAGAAUAAUUUCAACUAGGAUCUUAUUUGCUUUAGCUUCUAUAUAUGAUUUGCAUGUUCAUCAAAUAUAUGAUAAAUUGCAUUCUUAAACGGUGAUCUUAAUGAAGUGGUCUAUGUGGAACAACCAAAAUGAUAGAGAACAUAAAGUAUACAAACUAGUUAGAGAAUUACAUGGUUUGAAAAAUGAACAUAAGAAUUGCAUGAAAUGUUUGAUUGUACAUAGUUUCUGAUGUAUUAAUUCAUAAUACUCUAUAUACGUGGUUUCCCUCUUCUUCUUCUUCUUCUUCAUUUUUUUUUUUUUUUUUUUAAGUAUGUAAUGAAUAUAAUUGUGUUUGUAUGCAUUUAUGUUGAUUGUUGACCUAAAAAAAAAAAAAAAAAAUUAAUUUUUAAAGCCAAAGGUAUUUUUUUCCCUACAAAUUUCGUCGGGUUUUUUUUCUCUUUUUGGGUCAAUUUUUGUAUUAAAGAAAAGAGAUUGCAAUUUCGACGAAAAGUAUUUCUCAAUCAGAGUUAGCAUUUCAAAUUUUGAGAAAUCUGAACUAGGAUGUUGUUUCAAUCUGAGGCGACUUUUUAGAUGAGACAAUCUUUCAAAAUAUAGGAUCUUUAGAGUGAAAGUUGGAUAUUAGAUUUUUAACACUUUUGUGCUUAUUUAUAAGUGAUUUCAGAAUAUUUUAUUCUUUUUUGUGAGUUGAUAAUCUUUUAUCAUAACGUUGAAAAUCAUGAUUAAGUUUUAUUAUCGAAGUUUGUUAAGAUUUGUGAUUUAUGACACUUGCCCAGUAAUUUAUUGUGUAAAUACGCAUAAGUUUAGUGCAUUGUAGUCCAGCUGCACUCUGCCUUAAUUUGCACUAAGGUUCCCACCUAUGUUCGAGUCCAAACCUAGGCCUUUAGUCAUGUUGCCAACAGAGGCCUUCAACCACGUUUCUUGUCAAGUGUUCUGAUUCUGUAUAUUCUAUUGCUUAAGGAAGCAUUGAUGGACGAGGCAUCUAUCGAUCAAAUGUACUUCGACAUUCGAAGCACAAAUGUUCAAAGACACGUUGG
rnacentral:lncRNA from 1 species